UCCUAGGUUGGUUAGGAGCAUGGUUCUAGACAUUCUCUGGUUCUAGGUACACCAUCCGAAGGUGCAGUCGUACUUGGUUACAGUAGCCUAUCCUGAAUGACAUCCAUUGCUGAAGCGAAAUCACACCACGACUUUUUAAAGUAGCCUAGCCUAAAAACCCAGGGCCUCCUCCACCAAUUCCAACUGAUAUGGUUGGUAUCAACCCUCAGAACAGCUUCAUUAAAUUUUGGAGGGAAGGACCUGCUUAAUUCAGAUAUUAGCACCAGGCUUUACUGCAGGAGGAGACCGCAAGGGUCAUCAUGGACAAGGACCACGCAUUCUUUCUCCAGCAUUCUCUCUUUUAAGCUGCCCUCUAUAAAAUUCACGUCGUCACACAUAGGGCAUGAAGAACAGCUGAGCGAGGGGAGAAGGAAUCCUCUUCUUUUUAACUUGAAUGCAGAAAAAUGGAGAGAUACUUUGUGAGUGUGUGUGUGUGUGUGUGUGUGUGUGUGUGUGUGUGUGUGUGUGUGU